CUCCUUGACGUUUUCCACAGCAAUCACAAAGGAGGCACUAUCUUUUAACUCCCUCUCCAGACGCAAAACACUAUCGAGAAAGCGUUUCUCCUCCUUGGUCAACCUCCAGCAGUAGUCAUUAAGUUCCUUGACGAAUUCCAAAAAUUCACCAAAAUCCUCCAUCAGGUCCUCCGUACUUAUGGUCAGCAUACGCCGGAGUCGCUUGAUGACGGGAGAAGCGGGAGAUUGACCACAUUCAAAGGGAGGAUUUUUGGGAGACAUAAUUUUGAAAAAGAAAAACUCUUAAAAUCGAGCAGGUGGAAAGGAUGAGUCGAUCAUGUCGUCGGAUGCUUCAUUUAUAGAUGAAAAAUUUCAUCGUGGCAGCAGUAAGUGGGGAGACGGUUGAUGGAUACUGCAUAGGGAUGUAGGAACAUGCGUAAGGAAAUGGAGACGUGACGAAAAUUAUUUCGCGCCAAAACACUGAAAGAAAAAAUUCGAACCACAUUCAAGCACUUCACUCCUAUGGACUUCGUGCUUGGGGGGCUGUGGACUGGGCAAUGGGCUUAAGGAAAUAUCCAGUAAGCCCAAUUAGAGUAAGAAGGAUGAUAGGCCCAAAUCAAGUAAACCCUAAAUACCCAAUAGGCGAUAAGAAG
rnacentral:lncRNA from 1 species